rnacentral:rRNA from 1 species
UAGGGAAUAUUAGAAAUGGACGAAAGUCUGAUCUAGCAACACCGCGUGUGCGAAGAAGGCCUUCGGGUCGUAAAGCACUUUUUGGAAGGAAUAGGAAGGAAUGUACUUCCAGAAUAAGUCUCGGCUAACUACGUGCCAGCAGCCGCGGUAACACGUAGGAGGCAAACGUUAUCCGGAUUUACUGGGCGUAAAGCGCGUGUAGGUGGUACUGUAAGUAGGGCGUGAAAGCUCCUGGCUCAACUGGGAGAGGCCGUUCUAAACUACAGAACUAGAGGAUGGUAGAGGGAGGUGGAAUUCCAGGUGGAGUGGCGGAAUGCGCAGAUAUCUGGAGGAACACCGGUGGCGAAGGCGGCCUCCUGGACCAUUCCUGACACUCAGACGCGAAAGCUAGGGUAGCAAACG